AGGAUGCGUGUUGUCUUCUACGUCACUGAGAAAGGAUACUUCCAAAUCACUUGGACCUGAUGUUUUAAGUCUCUUAAAAGUUAUUUUUUGUUGCUAGUUUAAAUGCUCUUCUCUAUUUAAUUGGCAGGUAUUUUAUCACUCUUGGGCUUAUGUAUAAAGGGAAAAUUAUGAGUGGAUUAAAUGGGUGAAAGUAUCCCUAAACCUUCUUCAGAUUCAGAGUCACUUUGUGAUUCAAAAUCAUCAGGUAGGUAAUUUUCCAAAGAGCACUGCCCUCCAUGUCAUCAAGAUUAUAGGUGAUACAGCAGUUCUUAAAAGAAUCCUUAAAAAGAACCGAGACAUGUUUGCUGAAUGUUCCUUCUGCCUUUGCGGUGAUGCAGCGCUGGCCUCCUGUUGAUGCCUGCUUUCAGAGUAUUGCUAAAUACCUCUGAUUUGGCAAUUCUGUCACCCUUUCUGCACAACCAUUUGAUUCCUGGGGACUCAAAAAAAUGAUCUCCGCUUCUAGGAUUUUCUUCCCAGCCACUGACACCCAUCCUGGGAGUUGUGAUGCUGAAUCUGUCCACCACAACACUGCCUGAGUGAUCGAACACGCAAGCCUGAUAUUGUCAACCCCACUUUAAAUUCUUCUUUGGCUUCUACUGCAUUUUGGGGAAAUGACCCUCACCUCCAGCCCAGCAUACAAGGUUCAUCUCCACCUGGAUGCAUUUAAUAAAAGCAGACCAAAGCUACUGAAGUUCUCACUCUGCAAAGGCAGCAAAAACAAAGAAUACAAUGUUAUUCGAUCAAUGAUGUGGAUCGAUAGAGCCUUAAAUCUGGAGUCUGAAGACCGAGAACAAUAUCCAGGUUUCAAAAGGACACAGAAUGUGUUCCAACUUCCCUCUGAUACAGUUCUAAAUUAAGCGCCGUGGAAGGAAAGUUAGAUGAAACUUCUUGGGUGCUUUUGCAAAAAGGUUACCCACAAGGCUGUAUGCAUGACUGGAAAUGAGGUGGCUUCAGAAAUGCAGCAGGCAUUGGACAAGGACUGUGAGAAACAGAGAUGAACCAGGGCGCCUACCCUCAAAAGGCUCACAAAAUGGGAUCCUCUUACAAUGGGCCUAAUGCCAUAUUUCCAGUGAGAAAUAACAGGAAAUAAUUGUACCUGAAACCACUGAGAAGGCUUUCCAGGGAGCAUGUGCUUUCAAGGGUGGAUGGAGUGAGGGACUUGAGGGCACAUGAGGAAACUCUCACAGCCAGAGGGAACAGAGCAUGCAAAGGGAUUAAGAACUUGCCUGGUACGUUUGGGGAAGAGCCACAGAAUCA